ACGCUGGCGGCGCGUUUUAAGCAUGCAAGUCGGACGGCAAGGGUAGCAAUACCCCUAGAGUGGCGGACUGGUGAGUAACGCGUGGUGACCUACCUUGAGUUGGGAUAGCCAUUAGAAAUAGUGGAUAAUACCGAAUACGAUCGCGACACUUUGGUGAUGCGAUGAAAGGAGCUACGGCUCCGCUCGAGGAUGGGCCCGCGUCCCAUUAGCUAGUUGGUGAGGUAACGGCCCACCAAGGCGACGAUGGGUAUCCGGCCUGAGAGGGUGUACGGACACAUUGGGACUGAGAUACGGCCCAAACUCCUACGGGAGGCAGCAGCUAAGAAUAUUCCGCAAUGGACGAAAGUCUGACGGAGCGACGCCGCGUGGAUGAAGAAGGCCCGAAGGGUUGUAAAAUCCUUUUGCUGAUGAAGAAUAAGUGUGGUAGGGAAUGACCGCAUGAUGACAUUAGUCGGUGAAUAAGCCCCGGCUAACUACGUGCCAGCCGCAGC
rnacentral:rRNA from 1 species